CCAAAGGCUCUUUUCAGAGCCACCUACGUGCACACUGAAAAAGGACU
rfam:Camelus ferus isolate Naran unplaced genomic scaffold scaffold78418, whole genome shotgun sequence.